rnacentral:lncRNA from 1 species
UUGAUUGUAGAAAAUUAUGACGAGGCUAUCUAUACGCAAAUCUCACGAGCGGCCAUAUUUCUCCCGCAUGCGCAAAUGACCCCACAAACUAGAUUGGCCUUUAAUGGCCUCGAAGCCCGCUACAGAGGAUGCCAUCAGUGUAUAAAAUGCCAUGCUACCCUUGUAUUUUGUCAAAUUUUCGACCACGUGAGAUCCAUCAUGCAUG